AAUACUGAGCUCUGACAUUGGGUGAGAUAAAACACUGCCCUGGAGGAGAGCUUCUUUCAAGAUGAGGCGUUUAUAGAUAAAGACGUAUUCACAGGCUUACAAAGAUAAUGUAUAGACUUCACGUUUCUUUCUUUUAGGGGCUCAAAGCACUUUAUGAGCAUUUCUUAACUCACCUUCAAGUGCGCGCAGGAAUUCGGAGAGCAGUGGGCCCACUGUUAUUGUGCUCCAUGUCCAGAUUGGAAGCUGAGGCACGAACCAAUGAGGCAAAGUGUCUGUGAACACAAGCAGAGUCAGCCAGAGCUAGGCUCCCUUCAUACACCAGGGGAUUCCGGGAUCUCACUAUGUUGUCCAGGCUGGAAUGCAGUGGCUAUUCACAGAUGUGAUCAUAGCACAGUGCAGCCUCAACUCCUGGCCUUGAUCAGUCCUCCUGCCUCAGCCUCCCAAGUAGCUGGGACCACAGGCAUGCACCACAACACUCAGCUACAUGGCAGUUUGGUGGUUAUGCCAAGGAAGCAGACUACGUAGCACAAGCCACCCGUCUGCGUGCUGCCCUGGAGGGCACAGCCACCUACCGGGGGGACAUCUACUUCUGCACGGGUUAUGACCCUCCCAUGAAGCCCUACGGACGGCGCAAUGAGAUCUGGCUGUUGAA
rnacentral:lncRNA from 1 species